CACCAUCCUCAUCACCAUCCUGACCAUCCUGUGGUUGGUUCUUACCACGUGGCCAUCACCCAGGAGGCAGACAAGCCCAUUACCAUCAAAAAUCUGAGUCUAGUCUGGGAGAUUUCCAAAGUGUGAGGAGGUGGGGAACAUCCAAACCAUCACAAUGCUUGUUAACACCUACCACAGCUGCAACCACAGGGCAUCCUAAGACCACAAAGAAACAGCAAAUAUCCUGGAUAGAAGGGGACCGUGGAAACAAAAAGUGUCUGCCACAGCUCUUCCCCAGUGCUGGGUAGCUGAACAAGAAGGCAUUUCUGCCUUCUGCUGACUGUGGGCUUAUGGCCAGGGACUAAACAAGAAUUGACUGUCAGUGAAUACUGGUUUGCCAGGGGAAGGAACAAACAGCAAUUGUCGAGCUUUGUGAUAACAAAAUCACACUGUGGUAAGAAAUCCUUGUACUAAGGAAACAUUUCUACAAUGAUAGAAAUGCCUAUAGGCAACACAGAAGCCCUUGUCAUGUCUGCCAGCUUAUCCCCAGGGGCACUCCUCAGGCAGAAAUGUUCUCCAGGUUAUAGUUACUUUUUUAUCUUCAAACCCUCAAACCACCAGGCCCAUGACACCCUACCUCCCCUACUUACAUUAUGGAGUCCUCCCUGGCAAAAGGUUUGGGCUGCUUUACAAUGGCGAGAUGGAACACGAGGGUGCCCCAGAGGUUCUCAAGAAGCCAUUUAAAUUAAAAGCAAAGAACACCACCCCCUCCCCUUCCAGAUCCAUUCAAGCCACAGACAUCAGAGAGAACAGCAGGACAAUGCAUGAAGAUUCCUCUUGGAGUCUUGAUAGACAGAAGGUUAAGCAGCAAUGACAUGAGUCAAAAUCCAUCAAACUUCUCAACCCAUCAGAUCAUCAAAAGCAUUGCUGCUACUCCCCAAAUGUCUCAGAAGCACCUUCUUUACAGCAAAGCAGCUACCCAGAUUUUCAGGUGGAUUGAUUCUACUUGUGGCAGUUUAAAACACAGCAGAAAUACAAAUAAGGCUGAUGUAAGACUGCAAGCAGAGAAAAUAAUCAGACUUUAAAUCCCUAAGGAC